UCGGAGGAAAAGAAACCAACUGGGAUUACCUUAGUAACGGCGAGUGAAGCGGUAAAAGCUCAAAUUUGAAAUUUGGUACUUUCAGUGCCCGAGUUGUAAUUUGUAGAAUUUGUCUUUGAUUAGGUCCUUGUCUAUGUUCCUUGGAACAGGACGUCAUAGAGGGUGAGAAUCCCGUUUGGCGAGGAUACCUUUUCUCUGUAAGACUUUUUCGAAGAGUCGAGUUGUUUGGGAAUGCAGCUCAAAGUGGGUGGUAAAUUCCAUCUAAAGCUAAAUAUUGGCGAGAGACCGAUAGCGAACAAGUACAGUGAUGGAAAGAUGAAAAGAACUUUGAAAAGAGAGUGAAAAAGUACGUGAAAUUGUUGAAAGGGAAGGGCAUUUGAUCAGACAUGGUGUUUUUUGCAUGCACUCGCCUCUCGUGGGCUUGGGCCUCUCAAAAAUUUCACUGGGCCAACAUCAAUUCUGGCAGCAGGAUAAAUCAUUAAGAAUGUAGCUACUUCGGUAGUGUUAUAGCUUUUUGGAAUACUGUU
rnacentral:rRNA from 1 species